AGUUUCAUGCGUUUAGCAAAUUGUAUCUUAUAUCUUGGGUAUCCUAAGAUUUGGGCUAAUAUCCACUAUCAUUGAGCACAUAUUGUGUGAAUUCCUUUGUGAUUGUGUUACCUCACUCAGGAUGAUGCCAGAGCAGGGGUGUCUGGACAUUUCUGUACAGUUGUCAAGAGAAAAGGGCAGCUUGAAAUUUCCUUGUGAUUUUAUUAACAUUUGACCAGUUCUUUCAAUGCUCUGAUAUGUUCAGGGGUUUUCUUUGCUUGUGUUUGUAUUUCAGGAAGAUACUUCAGGACAAGAACUUCCUGUUAAAUUGAAGCUCCUAACAAAGGGCAUUGUGAAUUUCUACUGCUUGGUUGGGUUACCAGAAUCUUUCAAAGCUUCCACUUCUAAAAUGGCUUUCAUCUCAUCCCAGCACAGUAGACAUAGACAUAGCUGUGUAUAUGUAACUCAAUGGAAGCCCAUCGUUAAAACUGUUCCCACAAAAAGCUUUAUUCUCUCUGAAUAUGCAUGUAUUAGGAGGAUGUUGUACUAGCCUGUGAUGUGUAAGGAAGAAACUCAGAAAAUACAGUGGAAUAAAAGAGAGCUAUACAAACCCCAGUUACAGUCGGAGAAUAUUGCUGGUAACAUAAGAUACCUGUAUUGUCCCUUCAAAUGAAAUCAGUGCUGUCCUGCAGCCAGGAUGCUAAAGAAAACUUCAGAGAAAUGGAAUAAAAUUGACUUUUAAGUUCACCAGUAUAUCAAUAUGAAGCCAAAGGCAUCACUUUGCAGCAUUUUCAAAAUGCUUUACCUUAAAGAAGAUGGAGUCAAGUUUCCAAAUAUGGGCCAGUAACAUGGUGUAUUUCACUAUUUCAGGGGGUUUUAUAUUAGAAUCGCCACUCAAGAUGUAGAAAUCCUAAAAAUUGCCUAGCCACCACAGGUUUCUCUUCCAAAUAUCUGCAAGAUAAAAAUUACUUUUAAACUCAUUAAGAUUUCUUAUUCAGGUCAUGGGUCUUACCCUUGGGAAAUUAUUUUCUCAUUCAACUUACAUACUGAUGAUGCCAAAUUGGAACAUAGUUAUUUAAGAUAAUGCACUCGGAAAAAUAUAAGGGUUUUGUUUAUCUUAAAGUGAU
rnacentral:lncRNA from 1 species